ACGGGUGCGUAACGCGUGGGAAUCUGCCCUUGGGUUCGGAAUAACAGUUAGAAAUGACUGCUGAUACCGGAUGAUGACUUCGGUCCAAAGAUUUAUCGCCCAGGGAUGGGCCCGCGUCGGAUUAGCUAGUUGGUGAGGUAAAAGCUCACCAAGGCGACGAUCCGUAGCUGGUCUGAGAGGAUGAUCAGCCACACUGGGACUGAGACACGGCCCAGACUCCUACGGGAGGCAGCAGUGGGGAAUAUUGGACAAUGGGCGCAAGCCUGAUCCAGCAAUGCCGCGUGAGUGAUGAAGGCCUUAGGGUUGUAAAGCUCUUUUACCCGGGAUGAUAAUGACAGUACCGGGAGAAUAAGCCCCGGCUAACUCCGUGCCAGCAGCCGCGGUAAUACGGAGGGGGCUAGCGUUGUUCGGAAUUACUGGGCGUAAAGCGCACGUAGGCGGCUUUGUAAGUUAGAGGUGAAAGCCCGGGGCUCAACUCCGGAAUUGCCUUUAAGACUGCAUCGCUAGAAUUGUGGAGAGGUAAGUGGAAUUCCGAGUGUAGAGGUGAAAUUCGUAGA
rnacentral:rRNA from 1 species